rnacentral:rRNA from 1 species
GACGGAGGGUGCAAGCGUUGUUCGGAUUGACUGGGCGUAAAGGGCGUGUAGGCGGUCGGCCAAGUCUGAUGUGAAAACUCGAGGCUCAACCUCGAGACGCCGAUGGAAACCAUCUGACUAGAGUCCGGAAGAGGAGAGUGGAAUUCCUGGUGUAGCGGUGAAAUGCGCAGAUAUCAGGAAGAACACCCGUGGCUAAGGCGGCUCUCUAGUACGGUACUGACGCUGAGACGCGAAAGCGUGGGGAGCGAACAGG